UACGUAGGGUCCGAGCGUUGUCCGGAAUUAUUGGGCGUAAAGGGCUCGUAGGCGGUUUGUCACGUCGGGAGUGAAAACACGGGGCUUAACCCCGUGCCUGCUUCCGAUACGGGCAGACUAGAGGUAUGCAGGGGAGAACGGAAUUCCUGGUGUAGCGGUGAAAUGCGCAGAUAUCAGGAGGAACACCGGUGGCGAAGGCGGUUCUCUGGGCAUUACCUGACGCUGAGGAGCGAAAGUGUGGGGAGCGAACAGG
rnacentral:rRNA from 1 species